rnacentral:rRNA from 1 species
GAUGAACGCUGGCGGCGUGCCUAACACAUGCAAGUCGAACGAAGCAAUUAAGAUGAAGUUUUCGGAUGGAAUCUUGAUUGACUGAGUGGCGGACGGGUGAGUAACGCGUGGAUAACCUGCCUCACACUGGGGGAUAACAGUUAGAAAUGACUGCUAAUACCGCAUAAGCGCACAGUGCCGCAUGGCAGUGUCGUGAAAAACUCCGGUGGUGUGAGAUGGAUCCGCGUCUGAUUAGCCAGUUGGCGGGGUAACGGCCCACCAAAGCGACGAUCAGUAGCCGACCUGAGAGGGUGACCGGCCACAUUGGGACUGAGACACGGCCCAA